rnacentral:rRNA from 1 species
UAGGGAAUAUUAGACAAUGGGGGCAACCCUGAUCUAGCCAUGCCGCGUGUGUGAUGAAGGCCCUAGGGUCGUAAAGCACUUUCGCCAGAGAUGAUAAUGACAGUAUCUGGUAAAGAAACCCCGGCUAACUCCGUGCCAGCAGCCGCGGUAAUACGGAGGGGGUUAGCGUUGUUCGGAAUUACUGGGCGUAAAGCGCACGUAGGCGGAUUAGUAAGUUAGAGGUGAAAUCCCAGGGCUCAACCCUGGAACUGCCUUUAAUACUGCUAGUCUUGAGUUCGAGAGAGGUAAGUGGAAUUCCGAGUGUAGAGGUGAAAUUCGUAGAUAUUCGGAGGAACACCAGUGGCGAAGGCGGCUUACUGGCUCGAUACUGACGCUGAGGUGCGAAAGUGUGGGGAGCAAACAGGAUUAGAUACCCUGGUAGUCCACACCGUAAACGAUGAAUGCCAGACGUCAGCAAGUAUACUUGUUGGUGUCACACCUAACGGAUUAAGCAUUCCGCCUGGGGAGUACGGUCGCAAGAUUA